GACGAACGCUGGCGGCGUGCCUAAUACAUGCAAGUCGAGCGAAUCUCGAGGAGCUUGCUCCUUGAGGUUAGCGGCGGGCGGGUGAGUAACACGUGGGCAACCUGCCUGUAAGACUGGGAUAACACCGGGAAACCGGUGCUAAUACCGGAUAAUUCUUUCCCUCACAUGAGGGAAAGCUGAAAGUUGGUUUCGGCUGACACUUACAGAUGGGCCCGCGGCGCAUUAGCUAGUUGGUGAGGUAACGGCUCACCAAGGCGACGAUGCGUAGCCGACCUGAGAGGGUGAUCGGCCACACUGGGACUGAGACACGGCCCAGACUCCUACGGGAGGCAGCAGUAGGGAAUCUUCCGCAAUGGACGAAAGUCUGACGGAGCAACGCCGCGUGAGUGAUGAAGGCCUUCGGGUCGUAAAACUCUGUUGUUAGGGAAGAACAAGUACCGGAGUAACUGCCGGUACCUUGACGGUACCUAACCAGAAAGCCACGGCUAACUACGUGCCAGCCGCCGCUGUAA
rnacentral:rRNA from 1 species